rnacentral:tRNA from 1 species
GGUGAGUUGGCAGAGUGGUUUAAUGCAGCGGUUUGCUAAACCGUCAGUCGUUGUAAAACGGCUCAUAGGUUCAAAUCCUAUACUCACCGCCA